rnacentral:sRNA from 19 species
UAUUUCCUAGACACUUUUUUAAGUUAAGUGGUGUGACUGUCCUAGUUGGGGGCAUGAGUAAGUUAGAUGGUACUAUACUUGAUAAUACUAGACCUAGGCGAGUUUGAACUCAUG